rnacentral:misc_RNA from 1 species
UAAAUCCCAAUCUUGUUUGU